CUCUCUGGGUGGCGAGUGGCGGACGGGUGAGGAAUACAUCGGAAUCUACUUUUUCGUGGGGGAUAACGUAGGGAAACUUACGCUAAUACCGCAUACGACCUACGGGUGAAAGCAGGGGACCUUCGGGCCUUGCGCGAUUGAAUGAGCCGAUGUCGGAUUAGCUAGUUGGCGGGGUAAAGGCCCACCAAGGCGACGAUCCGUAGCUGGUCUGAGAGGAUGAUCAGCCACACUGGAACUGAGACACGGUCCAGACUCCUACGGGAGGCAGCAGUGGGGAAUAUUGGACAAUGGGCGCAAGCCUGAUCCAGCCAUACCGCGUGGGUGAAGAAGGCCUUCGGGUUGUAAAGCCCUUUUGUUGGGAAAGAAAUCCAGCUGGCUAAUACCCGGUUGGGAUGACGGUACCCAAAGAAUAAGCACCGGCUAACUUCGUGCCAGCAGCCGCGGUAAUACGAAGGGUGCAAGCGUUACUCGGAAUUACUGGGCGUAAAGCGUGCGUAGGUGGUCGUUUAAGUCCGUUGUGAAAGCCCUGGGCUCAACCUGGGAACUGCAGUGGAUACUGGGCGACUAGAGUGUGGUAGAGGGUAGCGGAAUUCCUGGUGUAGCAGUGAAAUGCGUAGAGAUCAGGAGGAACAUCCAUGGCGAAGGCAGCU
rnacentral:rRNA from 1 species